rnacentral:rRNA from 1 species
UACAGAGGUGGCAAGCGUUGUUCGGAAUUACUGGGCGUAAAGGGCGCGUAGGUGGCCUGUUAAGUCGAACGUGAAAUCCCCGGGCUCAACCCGGGAACUGCGUCCGAGACUGGCAGGCUCGAAUCCGGGAGAGGGAUGUGGAAUUCCAGGUGUAGCGGUGAAAUGCGUAGAUAUCUGGAGGAACACCGGUGGCGAAGGCGGCAUCCUGGAUCGGUAUUGACGCUGAGGCGCGAAAGCCAGGGGAGCAAACGGG